GACGAACGCUGGCGGCGUGCCUAAUACAUGCAAGUCGGACGCAGACGCGAACGGGUGAGUAACGCGUAGGUCACUGCCUGUUAGAGGGGGCUAACUAUUGGAAACGAUAGCUAAUACCGCAUACUAGUAGAUGGACCUGGGUUGUAUUGGAUAGUAGGUAGGGGAAGGGCCUACCUAGGCGGCGAUACAUAGCCGGCCUGGAGAGUGGACCCGGCAACACGGGACUGGGACACGGCCCAGACUCCGACGGGAGGCCGGCGGUGGGAAUCUUCGGCAAUGGGGGGAACCCUGACUGAGCAAAGCCGGGGUGGUGAAGAAGGUUUUCGGAGUUUAAAGGUACGUUGUUAAGGAAGCGUUACUUAACCAGAAAGGGACGGCUAACUACGUGCCAGCCGCCGCGGUAAUAC
rnacentral:rRNA from 1 species